AUAGAAUUAGGAAACAGAAGUGGGGGUACUCCAGUAAUUGAAGGAAGGGAGCUUCCCUAUAAAGGCUUUGAGAAAAAACCCUAAGAAGCAUCCCCAUCUCUCAGUCCCAUUCAUUCACAAUUCAAACUUGAAGCCCUGAUGGGAGUGGUCAGGGCUCAGGGUUCUUCUUCAUCUACACUUCUUCAAAUCCAAAGAAAUCUGGGUCUCACGCCGCUCGAAUAACCGGAAGGUGGAAGAAGAGCAUCACCAUUCGGUUCAGACAGUGGCUAAUAACAAAAGGGGACUGAUAAAAAGGUCCUCUUCCGAAUCUGUUUGAGGGUAAGGAACCAUUCUCUUCAGCCAGUCCUUUCCUAGUUUGGUUCGGAUAUUCUCUCUUAUUUUGAUAAUUGAUUUACAUAUGGGCAAUCCAGAGCAACCUCUCUGGUGUUUUCCAGGAGGUUUUCUUGAAGCAAAUCAUGGCUUCAACCAGGAACCCUACUUGGACAGGCCCAAAAAAACAUAUUAUCUGAAUUAAAUUUGGAUUGAGCUUGGUUUGGGGCCCAAGCAAAACUAGCCCAGCCCAAAUUUCAUUAUAUUUAUAUAAAAUAUAAAUGUAUAUAAAAUUUGGAUCAUAUAUAUAAUCUAAAUGGUAUUAGUGGUAACACUGAUACCCAAUUUAAUUAUCAUACUAAGAUAUUUUUAUCCUUAUAAUGAUAUUUAAACUUAGUGAAGUUUUAAUAUAAUUUCUAUUUUUUGCUUUUAAAAAUAGAAUGUCUUAUAUAAGAAAGUAGGUACAUUUAUUGAACUUGAAAACACUUUCAAAUUUUUAAAAAAUUUAAGGCCCUUGUUUGGUAAUUGUUUCCGAAAACAAGUUUGGAAAACAAUUUUUGAUUAUGGUAUUUAAAAAUUAUUCAAUAAGCAAAAAUAAUAAAAAUAAUUAAAAGAUGUUUUUAAAAAUACCAUGUUUUUUGUUUUUAAUAAAAAAGCAAAAACAGAUUUUAGUUGUCAAAUGUAUUUUUUUCUUGUUUUUAUGUUUUAAAGAAUAUAAAACUGUUGUCGACAAUGAAAUAAGGAAUGAUUAAUUGGUUUUACCCUUUUUUUUUACUGUAAUAAUCUUGUAAGUUUUUCUUUUACCUUGUUAAAUAAGUCAUUCUUUCUUUUACUUGCAACCUAUUGUUUGAAUAAUCAAUUUUGAACUUCAAUUUAUUCUUGGAACAUUUAGGAAAAAUAAAUCUUAUUUUUGAAUUGUAAUGGUGAACUUGGAAAUUGCUUAGAAAUGUCCUAUUUUUAAUUAUUAUUUUAAAGAUUUUAUUCAUUCUAUUGGUUGUAUUAGUUAUUAUGAACUUGGAAGCCCAAUCAUACAUACCCAUUUUUGUAAAAGCCCAGAAAGAAAAAAACCCAAAGAAAAGCCCAUUAAACUGUAGAAGAAGUGACCCCCUUUGAUUUGGCUUGGUUGAUUGUUGGUGGCUGGAAGUGGAAGGGCCACGCUGACAUGAAAUGCUGGCUGAAUACAGAAGAGCCCAGGUGCAUAGCACCAAACACAUACUUCCAAUGGCCCCCAUCACAUUCUUCAUUUCCAUUGAAAACCACCCCCACUCUCACGUUCACAAACAGCACCCACCCACUCCACACAACCCAUGGGACCUCCCUUUCUGGGGUGGGUCACUCCCCAAUAAAUCUCUUUUGUUUUUAUACUUUUGCUCUUCAACACCCUUGCAUCCUUCCCUCUCAUGUCCACUAUGAAAAUAUCUCCACUCCAUUGGCUUAAUCUCAUCACCCAUGUUCUUUCAUUUGCCCCAGAAAUACAUUAUUAUGCAUCUUAAUCAUUCCCCUCCCAAGUCAAUUCAUUACUUGCCUAACCUUCCUUUGGAAAAGUCCACUGUCAUCAUCCUCCUACAAUACAUAUUUAUAUGUAAAAUAGGCAGUGGUUGACAAGUGGACAGGGCACUGGUGUCUAACUCCCACCCACAAAACAAGCAUAUAAGGAACCAACUUGUAUGGUAUGGCAGUUUUUUUAUUAUAUAGCCAGAAGGGGUCCUAUAAUACAAACAGAAAUAGGAAUCUAUAUAUGCACAUACAGUAACAGAUAUAUAAAGAUCCUGCAGGUGCAGAUCCAGGUGUCUGAUAAUUGUUGAGUCACAGCGAACCCAUCUUGAAGAUACUGCUCAGAGACCAUCAUAGUAGCCACCAAAGGUUAUAUGAGCUCUGGUGAGGGGAACUCCUCUCACUGCAGAAAAUGCUUCAUUCAAUUGUGUUGCAUGGUGAACCACUCGCUUGAUCCUCUGCAACCAUGUAAUUAAUUUGAGAAAUUUGAAGAAUUGUAAAUAAAGAGAAUAGAAUAAUAUAUUGGGGAAGAAAUUGAAUUGGGAAUAUGAAAUUUAUUUGAGAGGGAAUUGACCUUGUCGUCAGUGAUGAUCUGAAACCGAAGCCUUUGGUUGUGUUGGUGGUGUUUGUUUCUUUGGCUGCUGGCGAAGAUGAUAAUGCAGAUGGUAGUAGCAGCAACCCCGAAGGAGCAGAGGGCACCGAUCCCAGUUAAGCUCCACUUCCAUACGUUGAACCGACCGCUGCUCUCUGUCCAACUGCCCUCUUCAUCUUCUUUGAUAUCUGGGCCCGGAGCC